rnacentral:rRNA from 1 species
AUUUGGUCGUAGACCCGAAACCAGGUGAUCUACCCUUGGUCAGGUUGAAGUUCAGGUAACACUGAAUGGAGGACCGAACCGACUUACGUUGAAAAGUGAGCGGAUGAACUGAGGGUAGCGGAGAAAUUCCAAUCGAACCUGGAGAUAGCUGGUUCUCUCCGAAAUAGCUUUAGGGCUAGCCUCAAGUGAUGAUUAUUGGAGGUAGAGCACUGUUUGGACGAGGGGCCCCUCUCGGGUUACCGAAUUCAGACAAACUCCGAAUGCCAAUUAAUUUAACUUGGGAGUCAGAACAUGGGUGAUAAGGUCCGUGUUCGAAAGGGAAACAGCCCAGACCACCAGCUAAGGUCCCAAAAUAUAUGUUAAGUGGAAAAGGAUGUGGCGUUGCCCAGACAACUAGGAUGUUGGCUUAGAAGCAGCCAUCAUUUAAAGAGUGCGUAAUAGCUCACUAGUCGAGUGACACUGCGCCGAAAAUGUACCGGGGCUAAACAUAUUACCGAAGCUGUGGAUUGUCCUUUGGACAAUGGUAGGAGAGCGUUCUAAGGGCGUUGAAGCAUGAUCGUAAGGACAUGUGGAGCGCUUAGAAGUGAGAAUGCCGGUGUGAGUAGCGAAAGACGGGUGAGAAUCCCGUCCACCGAUUGACUAAGGUUUCCAGAGGAAGGCUCGUCCGCUCUGGGUUAGUCGGGUCCUAAGCUGAGGCCGACAGGCGUAGGCGAUGGAUAACAGGUUGAUAUUCCUGUACCACCUAUAAUCGUUUUAAUCGAUGGGGGGACGCAGUAGGAUAGGCGAAGCGUGCGAUUGGAUUACACGUCUAAGCAGUAAGGCUGAGUAUUAGGCAAAUCCGGUACUCGUUAAGGCUGAGCUGUGAUGGGGAGAAGACAUUGAGUCUUCGAGUCGUUGAUUUCACACUGCCGAGAAAAGCCUCUAGAUAGAAAAUAGGUGCCCGUACCGCAAACCGACACAGGUAGUCAAGAUGAGAAUUCUAAGGUGAGCGAGCGAACUCUCGUUAAGGAACUCGGCAAAAUGACCCCGUAACUUCGGGAGAAGGGGUGCUCUUUAGGGUUAACGCCCAGAAGAGCCGCAGUGAAUAGGCCCAAGCGACUGUUUAUCAAAAACACAGGUCUCUGCUAAACCGUAAGGUGAUGUAUAGGGGCUGACGCCUGCCCGGUGCUGGAAGGUUAAGAGGAGUGGUUAGCUUCUGCGAAGCUACGAAUCGAAGCCCCAGUAAACGGCGGCCGUAACUAUAACGGUCCUAAGGUAGCGAAAUUCCUUGUCGGGUAAGUUCCGACCCGCACGAAAGGCGUAACGAUUUGGGCACUGUCUCAACGAGAGACUCGGUGAAAUCAUAGUACCUGUGAAGAUGCAGGUUACCCGCGACAGGACGGAAAGACCCCGUGGAGCUUUACUGUAGCCUGAUAUUGAAAUUCGGCACAGCUUGUACAGGAUAGGUAGGAGCCUUUGAAACGUGAGCGCUAGCUUACGUGGAGGCGCUGGUGGGAUACUACCCUAGCUGUGUUGGCUUUCUAACCCGCACCACUUAUCGUGGUGGGAGACAGUGUCAGGCGGGCAGUUUGACUGGGGCGGUCGCCUCCUAAAAGGUAACGGAGGCGCUCAAAGGUUCCCUCAGAAUGGUUGGAAAUCAUUCAUAGAGUGUAAAGGCAUAAGGGAGCUUGACUGCGAGACCUACAAGUCGAGCAGGGUCGAAAGACGGACUUAGUGAUCCGGUGGUUCCGCAUGGAAGGGCCAUCGCUCAACGGAUAAAAGCUACCCCGGGGAUAACAGGCUUAUCUCCCCCAAGAGUUCACAUCGACGGGGAGGUUUGGCACCUCGAUGUCGGCUCAUCGCAUCCUGGGGCUGUAGUCGGUCCCAAGGGUUGGGCUGUUCGCCCAUUAAAGCGGUACGCGAGCUGGGUUCAGAACGUCGUGAGACAGUUCGGUCCCUAUCCGUCGUGGGCGUAGGAAAUUUGAGAGGAGCUGUCCUUAGUACGAGAGGACCGGGAUGGACAUACCUCUGGUGUACCAGUUGUCGUGCCAACGGCAUAGCUGGGUAGCUAUGUGUGGACGGGAUAAGUGCUGAAAGCAUCUAAGCAUGAAGCCCCCCUCAAGAUGAG